rnacentral:rRNA from 1 species
AUAACACUUAGAAAUAGGUGCUAAUACCGCAUAAGCGCACAGCUUCGCAUGAAGCAGUGUGAAAAACUCUGGUGGUAUACGAUGGAUCCGCGUCUGAUUAGCUAGUUGGCGGGGUAAAGGCCCACCAAGGCGACGAUCAGUAGCCGGCCUGAGAGGGUGAACGGCCACAUUGGGACUGAGACACGGCCCAAACUCCUACGGGAGGCAGCAGUGGGGAAUAUUGCACAAUGGGGGAAACCCUGAUGCAGCGACGCCGCGUGAGUGAAGAAGUAUUUCGGUACGUAAAGCUCUAUCAGCAGGGAAGAAAAUGACGGUACCUGACUAAGAAGCCCCGGCUAACUACGUGCCAGCAGCCGCGGUAAUACGUAGGGGGCAAGCGUUAUCCGGAUUUACUGGGUGUAAAGGGAGCGUAGACGGCAGCGCAAGUCUGGAGUGAAAUCCCAUGGCUUAACCAUGGAACUGCUUUGGAAACUGUGCAGCUAGAGUGCAGGAGAGGUAGGCGGAAUUCCUAGUGUAGCGGUGAAAUGCGUAGAUAUUAGGAGGAACACCAGUGGCGAAGGCGGCUUACUGGACUGUAACUGACGUUGAGGCUCGAAAGCGUGGGGAGCAAACAGGAUUAGAUACCCUGGUAGUCCACGCUGUAAACGAUGAUUAAUGGGUGUUGGGGGACCAAGGUCCUUCGGUG